rnacentral:lncRNA from 1 species
CAGAAGUAGAGAGCAGCUGGAGAGAUGGAGAAAGAGAAAGCAUACUGGUGUAAUUUGAGAUGAUCUAUCCUGUUAACCUUAAGGAUGUCUAUCUUGGUUCCACGCUGUUUACCUGUCAAAGAGAAUGAAUAGAGCAUCCUUAGCGCUUGCUAUUUGCCCAGAAAAAUAUGUUUUCAGUGGUCAUGGAAAAAAAAAAUUACUUUCAG